GUGUGUUUCGACACACUAUCAUUAACUGAAUCCAUAGGUUAAUGAGGCGAACCGGGGGAACUGAAACAUCUAAGUACCCCGAGGAAAAGAAAUCAACCGAGAUUCCCCCAGUAGCGGCGAGCGAACGGGGAGCAGCCCAGAGCCUGAAUCAGUGUGUGUGUUAGUGGAAGCGUCUGGAAAGGCGCGCGAUACAGGGUGACAGCCCCGUACACAAAAAUGCACAUGCUGUGAGCUCGAUGAGUAGGGCGGGACACGUGGUAUCCUGUCUGAAUAUGGGGGGACCAUCCUCCAAGGCUAAAUACUCCUGACUGACCGAUAGUGAACCAGUACCGUGAGGGAAAGGCGAAAAGAACCCCGGCGAGGGGAGUGAAAAAGAACCUGAAACCGUGUACGUACAAGCAGUGGGAGCACGCUUAGGCGUGUGACUGCGUACCUUUUGUAUAAUGGGUCAGCGACUUAUAUUCUGUAGCAAGGUUAACCGAAUAGGGGAGCCGAAGGGAAACCGAGUCUUAACUGGGCGUUAAGUUGCAGGGUAUAGACCCGAAACCCGGUGAUCUAGCCAUGGGCAGGUUGAAGGUUGGGUAACACUAACUGGAGGACCGAACCGACUAAUGUUGAAAAAUUAGCGGAUGACUUGUGGCUGGGGGUGAAAGGCCAAUCAAACCGGGAGAUAGCUGGUUCUCCCCGAAAGCUAUUUAGGUAGCGCCUCGUGAAUUCAUCUCCGGGGGUAGAGCACUGUUUCGGCAAGGGGGUCAUCCCGACUUACCAACCCGAUGCAAACUGCGAAUACCGGAGAAUGUUAUCACGGGAGACACACGGCGGGUGCUAACGUCCGUCGUGAAGAGGGAAACAACCCAGACCGCCAGCUAAGGUCCCAAAGUCAUGGUUAAGUGGGAAACGAUGUGGGAAGGCCCAGACAGCCAGGAUGUUGGCUUAGAAGCAGCCAUCAUUUAAAGAAAGCGUAAUAGCUCACUGGUCGAGUCGGCCUGCGCGGAAGAUGUAACGGGGCUAAACCAUG
rnacentral:rRNA from 1 species